GGAUUCAAAGUUAACAUUUAAUCUGCAGAAUAUGACCAGAUUAAAGCUGCUUUUAACCAAAUUCUUGUUGUUUUUAAGUCUCACAUCUUCAGGAGGAGUAAACGAGCAACAACACAUAAGCAGGAGGAAGUGGGGACUGAGAACCGAAGGAACACCAGAACCAAGCUCACCCCAAAGAAAGCAGAGAGCUCUUCCUCAGGUUGUCGGUUUGACUCCCAGAGCAGCAGGAAGGACGGCACGCUGCAGAAGAUCGGAGACUUCCUGCAGAGCUCCCCGACUCUGCUGGGCUCCAAAGCCAAGAAGAUGAUGAGCCUGGUCAGCGGCCGUCUGGACCCAGACUCAGCAGCCGCCUCUUCCUCCCUCAGCCUGAGGGCCAAGAGGGGCAGAAAGAAACUCUACAGACCUGAAAUCUCCUGCCCCAUGGACAUGCCCCCCCACCCGAUGAUCAACCAGGAGACGGACGGCGAGGGCCAGAACGACCAUGACAUCAUCAAACGGCGCCUGCGCAGCAGAGCGGCUAAGUCCUAGCGCUGCCCUCCAGAACUUUACUGUAGAAAUGAAGCUGCUGGUGACGGAUCGUUGUUCUGAGACGCAUUUAUUGGAUCAGUUCUGUGGAGGCCGACCCGUUAACACUAACCAGCAUUUAGAAGUUCAUGUUUCACUUUAUUAACCAGCAAUGGUUCAUCUCUAAUGUGCAAUCUGCUCUAACUUCACCUCCUAGAACACUUUGUGGAACGUUUAACGGUUCUGCUGCAAAGUCUCACUUUAACCUGAAUCAUUAUGUUCUGACGGGUCAUCCGGUCUCAUCAGA